CAGGUGUAGCAUCAGCGGUCAUGGAGAGUCUCCAUCCAGCAGCAUCUCUGUCUCAGCUCCACCCACCAGUGAAGCUCCACCUUCUACCUCAGCCUCCCUCCAGGUCAGGCUGGUCUGCCACCUGGUGGUCUUCUGUCCAUACUUCAUCUCCACUCUCCUCCUGGUGUCUCUAAAUCAGCACAAAGUCUCAGGAAGUGAUGUGCCAGCGUCUCCAGCAAUGACUCCACCCAUCCAGGCUGAGCAGAGAUUGAAUGAUGUUUAUGAUCAAGUGACAGAGCAU